AACGCGAAGAACCUUACCUGGGUUUGACAUGCACCAGAUCGCCUCAGAGAUGGGGCUUCCUUAGGGCUGGUGCACAGGUGGUGCAUGGCUGUCGUCAGCUCGUGUCGUGAGAUGUUGGGUUAAGUCCCGUAACGAGCGCAACCCUUAUCCUGUGUUGCCAGCAAUGCGGUUGGGGACUCACGGGAGACUGCCGGGGCCAACUCGGAGGAAGGCGGGGACGACGUCAAGUCAUCAUGCCCCUUAUGUCCAGGGCUUCACACAUGCUACAAUGAUCAGCACAAAGGGCCGCCAAACCGCAAGGUGGAGCGAAUCUCAGAAAGCUGAUCUCAGUUCGGAUCGGGGUCUGCAAUUCGACCCCGUGAAGUCGGAGUCGCUAGUAAUCGCAGAUCAGCAAUGCUGCGGUGAAUACGUUCCCGGGUCUUGUACACACCG
rnacentral:rRNA from 1 species